AUUGAACGCUGGCGGCAUGCCUUACACAUGCAAGUCGAACGGUAACGGGCCUUCGGGUGCCGACGAGUGGCGAACGGGUGAGUAAUGUAUCGGAACGUACCUUUCAGUGGGGGAUAACGUAGCGAAAGUUACGCUAAUACCGCAUAUUCUGUGAGCAGGAAAGCAGGGGAUCGCAAGACCUUGUGCUGAUUGAGCGGCCGAUAUCAGAUUAGCCAGUUGGUGAGGUAAAGGCUCACCAAGGCGACGAUCUGUAGCGGGUCUGAGAGGAUGAUCCGCCACACUGGAACUGAGACACGGUCCUGACUCCUACGGGAGGCAGCAGUGGGGAAUUUUGGACAAUGGGGGCAACCCUGAUCCAGCCAUGCCGCGUGAGUGAAGAAGGCCUUCGGGUUGUAAAGCUCUUUCGGCCGGGAAGAAAUCGUAUCAGCUAAUACCUGGUGCGGAUGACGGUACCGGCAUAAGAAGCACCGGCUAACUACGUGCCAGCCGCCGCCGUAAAAC
rnacentral:rRNA from 1 species